rnacentral:snRNA from 1 species
AUCACUUCUCAGCCUUUUGGCUAAGAUCAAGUGUAGUAUCUGUUCUGAUCAGUUUUAAAUCCAUCUGAAACAUAUAUGUUAUCACCAUAAUGACUUUACUUUAAUAUAAACAUCUCCCCGCUAUGUAUGUGAGUUAAAUCAGUAGAUAGGAAGAUGCUCCGACUUUGUACUAUGGCCCCAUCAAACUCUCU